GAUGAACGCUGGCGGCGUGCUUAACACAUGCAAGUCGAACGAAGCAUUUGCGACAGAUUUUUUCGGAAUGAAGUUGCUUAUGACUGAGUGGCGGACGGGUGAGUAACGCGUGGGUAACCUGCCUUGUACUGGGGGAUAGCAGCUGGAAACGGCUGGUAAUACCGCAUAAGCGCACAAUGUUGCAUGACAUGGUGUGAAAAACUCCGGUGGUAUAAGAUGGACCCGCGUCUGUUUAGCUAUGUGGUGGGGUAACAGCCCACCAAGGCGACGAUCAGUAGCCGAGCGGGUGAGGGGACCCGGCAAAAUUGGGAUGAGGCCCAGACCAAGACGCGAAGGGAGGGAGGAGUGGGGAAUAUUGCACAAUGGAGGAAACUCUGAUGCAGCGACGCCGCGUGAGUGAAGAAGUAAUUCGUUAUGUAAAGCUCUAUCAGAAGGGAAGAUAGUGACGGUACCUGACUAAGAGGCUCCGGCUAAAUACGUG
rnacentral:rRNA from 1 species